GGCACAUACACAUUCAGUUAUAUACUGAUACAGAUACACACACACACACAGAUUCACACACAGAUACACAGAUACACACUCACACACACACAUUCACGCUGUCACAGAUACACACACACAUAGAGACACACUAUCACAGAUACAAACACACAGAUUCACACUAUCUUACAUACACAGACACAUGGUAUACAAAGUUGAUCUGCAGCCACCCUUAAC